rnacentral:rRNA from 1 species
GACGAACGCUGGCGGCGUGCUUAACACAUGCAAGUCGAACGGUAAGGCCCUUUCGGGGGUACACGAGUGGCGAACGGGUGAGUAACACGUGAGGAACCUGCCCUUGACUCUGGGACAACAGCGGGAAACUUCUGCUAAUACCGGAUCUUCAGAUUCUCCCGCAUGGUGGGGUUUGGAAAGAUUUUGUGGUCAAGGAUGGUCUCGCGGCCUAUCCGCUUGUUUGUGAGGUAAUGGCUUACCAAGGCUUCGACGGGUAGCCGGCGUGAGAGGUCGACCGGCCACAUUGGGACUGAGAUACGGCCCAGACUCCUACGGGAGGCAGCAGUGGGGAAUAUUGCACAAUGGGCGAAAGCCUGAUGCAGCAACGCCGCGUGCGGGAUGACGGCCUUCGGGUUGUAAACCGCUUUCAGUAGGGACGAAGCGCAAGUGACGGUACCUACAGAAGAAGCACCGGCUAACUACGUGCCAGCAGCCGCAGUAAGAC